UACAGAGGUCUCAAGCGUUGUUCGGAUUCAUUGGGCGUAAAGGGUGUGUAGGUGGCGCCGUAAGUCGGGUGUGAAAUUUCGGAGCUUAACUCCGAAACUGCAUUCGAUACUGCGGUGCUUGAGGACUGGAGAGGAGACUGGAAUUCAUGGUGUAGCAGUGAAAUGCGUAGAGAUCAUGAGGAAGACCAGUGGCGAAGGCGGGUCUCUGGCCCGGUACUGACGCUGAGGUGCGAAAGCGUGGGGAGCAAACAGG
rnacentral:rRNA from 1 species